AGGAGAGUCAACAUGUAACCGCCAUGGGGGUAGGAGCCCAGAACUAUUCUCCGGUAGCUCCUUCAUGGUCCAGACGCCCACAGGACCCCAGCUCUCCGGUACAUGUGUCUGUAUUCCUGCACUGCCCCGUCAGAGUUCCAGGAUUCAGGCCUCACUGGACACGGAAGAACAUCAAGAAUGUGUUCUCUCUCUGCCCCUCAUUGGAGCACAGAGUUACCUGUAAUGGAGGAUCCAGCAAGAAAUGGGCAUCUGCAAGCCAAGGAAGGGAGAAUCGAGGAUGUCACAGUCGCCAUGGCUGAGACACAAAUUCUAGUGUUCAUGCCACCCAAACUGGAGGUGUUUAUGAGUAAAAAUCUGACCAGGCAAGCACAUCGUAGUACAGCAAGUAGUUGAUUUAAACCUAGAAAUCUUGGGUGUUUGCACGCUGAGACUCUCAACCUGUUCCAGAAGCAUAAGGGGCUACAGGUUCCAUGUCAUCAUUGCCAAGUGUAGAGCAAGGGGACCAGAACCAAUGAAAACUGUGGCCCAAGUCAUCCAUCCUCUCAGAGUUCUGCAUUCAGCCUCACAGACAACUUCAGCCCGGACUUCAGAUAAGCCUAGAUUUUCCCAUUACACAGAGAAUGAACAACAAAUGUUAUAGCUAGUUUUCUUAGCACUUGACCAUUAUCUCAAUUUUCUCAGGGCCCUCUGGAGGUGCCAUCAGCCCCAGACAAGAGGAAACAGUCUAGAGAGCCCAAUGCCCACAUACCCAAGAGGACUCACUGCUCCAUUUCUCUUGCCUUCCCACACUCAGCACAGAUGCACCAUGACUUUACUGCGGGCUCUGUGAAAGCAAGGUCUGAUCUGAAGAGACGUUCACCUUCAGAUGCCCAGAGCAACCAGCUUCUGCCACACAGCCAGUGCACACGGGGCCCUGUCCCAGAGCAGAUUGUCAGGGAGACAAUGUCAAAAGGAGAGGUGAAUUCAGGUUCCUUUCUGUGUGUUCCAGGAUGGUGUAGUGGAAGGCGCUGGAAGCUAAUACCUAUCCCUUGAGUUUGGACAUGGACCGGGCAAGCUGUGCAAGCGUGGACUAUAACGUUCACAUUCUUAGAUUCUUUCCUGUAACACUGACUCAAACAGAGUAUCUCACAUCUACAAGGCUGGCAUAUAGUAGAUGAUCAAUGGUUAUUUGACUUUCUUGAGUAUUUUUGUAAUAAUUAGGUCAUUUUUAAUAUUUGUCUACUUAUUGUUUGCUUAUUUUGUUUAUUGCUGUGCUGGGGACUGAACCCAUGUUUUAUACAUGCGAGGCAAGUAAUUUGCCACUGAGCUACAUUCCAGCUCUCAAGUUUCUUAAUUCCUCUGUACUUCAUUUGUUUAUCUAUAAAAUAAAAUGAUGAAUAAUUUCUAA